GGUCAAAUACGUUGAUCCAUUAAUGCACUCAUCAAUUGUUGGAGAUACCGCAUUUGAGACUAUGCUAAAUCUUGCUCAUCGUCUAGCCCCACCUCUUUUUAGCUAGGUUCUUUAUCAUGUCCUUGGUGUUCGUCCAGGCUUAUUAUCCACUAAUUGGGCCAUUGUUGAACGAGUUAUGCCUUGGUAUCCAAGCUAAUGGAUUGGCCAAAUCCCUUUCUGGAGUUUAUGCUAAGGAUUUGCACGCCUGCUUGACCGCUAUAAAAUGCAUUCCUUCUAUCCCUGGCCAUGUGCUUCGGAAUGAUGCUUUGAUCAUGACAAGUAUUUGGAUUGCUUGGAAGAUGUCUAUCCCUGGCCAUGUGCUUCAAGCCUUUGCUUCUAUCUUCCAUCUGCUUCUCCAUUACUCAAGGUGAUUGAUAGUUAAAACAAACUUAUAUUGCGGGUGCAUGCUGUGGAAGUGGACCUCAAUGAAAUAACGUUGGGGCAGCAGGUUGCUGAUGAUUCAACAUCAUAUGGAUGCUGCAUUUUGGUCGAAGAACUUCUACAAAACCUUCAAUUUUCAUUGCUUAUAGGGGACAAAUAAUGCUCAUCACCACUACGCCAUCAUGUUUUCACUACAUCACAUUGUUACUACAUCUUAUCAAGGCUUCCAUUUUUUUUAUUUGCAUUUUGGGAUACUAAAAAGGUGACAGGCAUUCACAAUCAUCAUCAAGUCAUGUUUAUCUCAACUAUCUAAGCUCGAGCGAGUUUUGUUGCAGAUGGGACAUAACUGCCAUGGACAAGCUUCAAGAAUACAUAAAAUUAUGGGACUUAACUGACGUGGAGACUAACAACGAACAGGUCCUUAAUGAUGAACUUUAUAUUUGGUUGAGACAAAGGACUACUAGCCAAAUAUUGUCUCGAAGUGUAUGUUUAAUUUCUCCUAAUUUAUGUAAACUGCUGCCUUUCUCCUUGCAUUUUGUCAAAUUGUCAAAUGCAGAGUUACUAGAGGAAUUCAUGAAUGUUGUGAAAUAUAGAUAUGUGGAAAAAGUACUUCUAAUUCAGUUUGAAGACUUUGCCAGCUAUAAUGCAUGAACUCCUUGCCAAAUAUCACAAAACACAUCUAGUCUUCAAUGAUGAUUAUACAAGCUGGUACCGGUAUUUGUAGAACUCAUGGCUCUUGAGAUGUCAAAGCAGAUUUUUAUGGCUGUUGUAGACAAAAGCUCCGUUGGAAGGAAUUUGCAAGAAGAUAUAGAUGGUUGAUUGUAAGGUAAUCAAGCCCACUAUUUUACUGGGUCAUCUGGAGUGGGAAAAACUUUCACUGAGGAAUACGACUACUUUUAAUGAGAAAUCCAUAAUUUUGGCUCUAUCUAGCCCUACCUCUCAAUCAGAAUGCAAUGCAGAAGAGGCAUAUUCAUGGCGUAAGGGUCAAGCAAUAUUUGCUAGUGGGAGUACAUUUGAUCCAAUUGAGUAUGAUGGAAAAGUUCU